AGUGGAAUUGUUGGCUCAUAUGGUAACUCUUUAAUUUUUAAAGAAAUUGCCAAAUUGCUUUGCAAAGUGGCUAUACUAUUUUACAGUUCUACCAGCAAU
rnacentral:pre_miRNA from 1 species